CGCGCAAGCGGUGGAGCAUGUGGUUUAAUCCGAUAGUACGCGUAAAAUCUUACCAAUUUUUGAUUAAUGAGUUGUAUAAAUAAUAUUCUGUUAUUAUUAUAGUAUUAAUAAAUUUUUUUAGAUUAAAUUAUUUUUUUAGCUCAUUGCAGGUGUUGCAUGGUUGUCGUCAGUUCGUGUUGUGAAAUUGUUUGGUUUAUUCCUUAAAACGGACGUCAACUCCUAGUAUUAAUUAUUGUAAAUAUAAAAUAUUUUUUUAUAUUUCGUUAAUAUUGUUAUUAAUUAAAUAUUAAUUACCACGGGGAGGAUGUCAAAUCGUCAUGUCCCUUAUAAAUUGGGGACUACACACGUGCUACAAUGGUAAAUACAAUAAGAGGCUAUUACGAAAGUAGGAGCUAAUACUUUUAAAGGUAUCUUAGUACGGAUUAUUCUCUGCAAGUCGAGAAUAUUAAGUUAG
rnacentral:rRNA from 1 species